rnacentral:rRNA from 1 species
UGGGGAACAUUGCACAAUGGGGGAAACCCUGAUGCAGCAACGCCGCGUGAGUGAUGACGGCCUUCGGGUUGUAAAGCUCUGUCUUCAGGGACGAUAAUGACGGUACCUGAGGAGGAAGCCACGGCUAACUACGUGCCAGCAGCCGCGGUAAUACGUAGGCAGCGAGCGUUGUUCGGAGUUACUGGGCGUAAAGAGUGCGUAGGCGGCGAGCCAAGUUUGGUGUGAAAUCUCCCGGCUUAACCGGGAGGGUGCGCCGAAAACUGGUUGGCUGGAGUAUGGGAGAGGAAAGCGGAAUUCCUGGUGUAGCGGUGAAAUGCGUAGAUAUCAGGAGGAACACCUGCGGUGUAGACAGCUUUCUGGACAAAACUGACGCUGAGGCACGAAAGCGUGGGUAGCAAACA